UACGAAGGGGGCUAGCGUUGCUCGGAAUUACUGGGCGUAAAGCGCACGUAGGCGGCUUUCUAAGUCGGGGGUGAAAUCCUGGAGCUCAACUCCAGAACUGCCUUCGAUACUGGAGAGCUCGAGUCCGGGAGAGGUGAGUGGAACUGCGAGUGUAGAGGUGAAAUUCGUAGAUAUUCGCAAGAACACCGAUGGCGAAGGCAGCCCCCUGGGCCAACACUGACGCUCAGGCACGAAAGCGUGGGGAGCAAACAGG
rnacentral:rRNA from 1 species